UACGGGGGGAGCAAGCGUUGUUCGGAUUUACUGGCGUAAAGGGCGCGUAGGCGGCCAGCACAAGUCAGUUGUGAAAUCUCCGGGCUUAACUCGGAAAGGUCAACUGAUACUGUGCGGCUAGAGUGCAGAAGGGGCAACUGGAAUUCUCGGUGUAGCGGUGAAAUGCGUAGAUAUCGAGAGGAACACCUGCGGCGAAGGCGGGUUGCUGGGCUGACACUGACGCUGAUGCGCGAAAGCCAGGGAGCGAAGCGGG
rnacentral:rRNA from 1 species